ensembl:snoRNA U8 U8 small nucleolar RNA
AUAACAGAGAUGUAACUUGCAUAAACUCAUAAAAAAAGAAAAGAAAAUGAUAAUUGGAGCUUGCAUGAUCUGUUGAUUAGCAUUUCUGAGUAGUGAGGACCUUUCAGCAUCCUGAUUGCUCCUAUCUGAC